UUUCCGUAGGUGAACCUGCGGAAGGAUCUUUAGUGAAUUGAAUAUGUUAGCGGACCUCUUCGGAGUCCCUAGCAUCAAAUCAUAUCCAUAACACCUGUGAACUGUAUGGCUGUCUUGAAAACGAAAGUGAUUAGAGCGCCUGCCCAUUUUAUACAAACAUUAAAGUAACAAAAGUAGUCUUAUUAUAAUCUCAUAAAACUUUCAACAACGGAUCUCUUGGCUCUC
rnacentral:misc_RNA from 1 species